rnacentral:rRNA from 1 species
CGGGGGGCAGCAGUAGGGAAUAUUGCACAAUGGGGGAAACCCUGAUGCAGCGACGCCGCGUGAGUGAUGAAGGCCUUCGGGUCGUAAAGCUCUGUCGCAUGGGACUAACACAAUGAAGGUACCAUGCAAGAAAGGAUCGGCUAACUUCGUGCCAGCAGCCGCGGUAAGACGAGGGAUCCUAGCGUUGUUCGGAAUUAUUGGGCGUAAAGCGGGUGUAGGCGGAUUUAUAAGUCAGGUGUGAAAUCCCAGGGCUCAACCCUGGAAGUGCACUUGAUACUGUAGAUCUUGAAUGUGGUAGAGGUUACUGGAAUUGUUGGUGUAGUGGUGAAAUACGUAGAUAUCAACAGGAAUACCGGAGGCGAAGGCGAGUAACUGGGCCAACAUUGACGCUGAGAUCCGAAAGUGUGGGGAUCAAACAGGAUUAGAUACCCGCGU